GUCGCGAUGCCAGAGUGGUUAAUGGGUAAGACUUGAAAUCUUAUGGUUUCGGCCUCGUAGGUUCAAAUCCUGCUCGCGACG
rnacentral:tRNA from 2 species